rnacentral:rRNA from 1 species
UACAGAGGUCUCAAGCGUUGUUCGGAUUCAUUGGGCGUAAAGGGUGUGUAGGUGGCGCCGUAAGUCGGGUGUGAAAUCUCGGGGCUUAACUCCGAAACUGCAUUCGAUACUGCGGUGCUUGAGGACUGGAGAGGAGACUGGAAUUCAUGGUGUAGCAGUGAAAUGCGUAGGAGAUCAUGAGGAAGACCAGUGGCGAAGGCGGGUCUCUGGACAGUUCCUGACACUGAGGCACGAAGGCCAGGGGAGCAAACGGG